AAGUCGUAACAAGGUUUCCGUAGGUGAACCUGCGGAAGGAUCAUUAACACGUAUCCAAACGUUAACCCCCCUGUGAACCUUUAGUGUGCUCGUACGCUUUGUCAGAGCGUGGCAAUCCCUAGUAAAUCAUCGCCGAACAGUUUUCGAUUUAGGGACUUCCACAAAGAGUGUGCUCGUAGCGCGAGGCAAGUGGCCUGGCAUUCCCAAGCAGUUGGUGUCUGAAAGUGUCACUGGCUGUCUAAGGCGCAGUCACGAUCGUUGGAGGCACCGGGCUCACGCCCCUUAAUCACAACUUAAUGCAUGUCAGACGCGCCUGCGCUUAAUUGUGCGGCGACCAUAAAACUCGAACAACUGUUAACAAUGGAUAUCUUGGUUCUC
rnacentral:misc_RNA from 1 species